UACGAAGGGGGCUAGCGUUGCUCGGAAUCACUGGGCGUAAAGCGCACGUAGGCGGAUCUUUAAGUCAGGGGUGAAAUCCCGGAGCUCAACUCCGGAACUGCCUUUGAUACUGAGGGUCUUGAGUCCGGGAGAGGUGAGUGGAACUGCGAGUGUAGAGGUGAAAUUCGUAGAUAUUCGCAAGAACACCAGUGGCGAAGGCGGCUCACUGGCCCGGUACUGACGCUGAGGUGCGAAAGCGUGGGGAGCGAUCCGG
rnacentral:rRNA from 1 species